rnacentral:rRNA from 1 species
GACGAACGCUGGCGGCGUGCCUAAUACAUGCAAGUCGAACGCUGAAGGAGGAGCUUGCUUCUCUGGAUGAGUUGCGAACGGGUGAGUAACGCGUAGGUAACCUGCCUGGUAGCGGGGGAUAACUAUUGGAAACGAUAGCUAAUACCGCAUAAUAACAGUUAUUGCAUGAUAACUGUUUGAAAGGUGCAAUUGCACCACUACCAGAUGGCCCUGCGUUGUAUUAGCUAGUUGGUGGGGUAACGGCUCACCAAGGCGACGAUACAUAGCCGACCUGAGAGGGUGAUCGGCCACACUGGGACUGAGACACGGCCCAGACUCCUACGGGAGGCAGCAGUAGGGAAUCUUCGGCAAUGGACGGAAGUCUGACCGAGCAACGCCGCGUGAGGGAAGAAGGGUUUCGGAUCGUAAAGCUCUGUUGUAAGAGAAGAACGAGUGUGAGAGUGGAAAGUUCACACUGUGACGGUAUCUUAACAGAAAGGGACGGCUAACUACGUG